rnacentral:piRNA from 1 species
UCCAACACACCUAUCAGUCAUCGUGCACCU